rnacentral:rRNA from 1 species
UAGAUGCGAGAGUAGAGCAUAUCAAUAAGCGGAGGAAAAGAAACUAACAAGGAUUCCCUUAGUAACGGCGAGUGAAGCGGGAAGAGCUCAAAUUUGAAAUCUUCAAGGUUCUACCUUGACGAAUUGUAGUUUAAAGAAGUGUUUUCUGUUAGAUGAGUAGCAAAAGUUCCUUGGAAUGGGACAUCAUAGAGGGUGAGAAUCCCGUAUUUGGUUAUUCAUUCUAGCUUUGUGAUACACUUUCAAAGAGUCGGAUUGUUUGGGAAUGCAGUCCAAAAUGGAGUGGUAAAUUUCAUCUAAAGCUAAAUAUUGGCGAGAGACCGAUAGCGAACAAGUACCGUGAGGGAAAGAUGAAAAGAACUUUGAAAAGAGAGUUAAACAGUACGUGAAAUUGUCAAAAGGGAAGCGUUUGACACCAGUGUUGUUUUUCCGAAAAUCAAUUACGAAUGGCUUGAUUUUGUGUUGUAUUGACCUUAUCAGCUUUCUGCACUUUUUUCGAGUCUUUCUUAAUGCACUUUUCGGUUAACAAGUCAACAUCAAUUUCUUUUGUUGUAAAAGAGUAUUCGGAAGGUGGCUUUCUUUUCGGAGAAAGUGUUUAUAGCCCUAUACUUCUACAAUCGGAGAGAUUGAGGUCUGCAGCGUAGAUCCUUCGGGGUUAGAUACACUUGUGCUAAGUUGUAGCUUUUCAUAGACAACUUGUUGACUAUGUUUAGUCAUGCGGCUUACUCGCUUGUGCUAUUUUACCUACGCUUAGGAUGUUGAGCGCAUGUCUCUCUCU